GCCCCCUUCCCCACCCGAGUACACUCCAACACCAUCACCAUCACCAUCACCAUCGCCACCACCAUCAUCAUCCACCAUCCAUUACAACCACCAAGGGCGGAACAUAGAGUGGGCUAGCCCUAGAUUUUUUAAAAUUUAGCCUGAUCAAGAAAAAAUUCCUAGUUGCGCCCCUUACAACCACAAACAAAUUGGGCUUUGAGAAAUCAAACAUAAUCAAAUUAAAAAUCAAUAAACCCAAAUGCGCAAAACCAAACAACCAAAAUGCUCCACCACCAAAAUCCACAACAAGCCCAAUCUUGGCCUAAGUGACAUCCAGAUAAUAAUCAGAUUUUCCAACAGUGCUCUCAGUGUUUGGGCUUUGAGAAAGCAAAGUGGUGGAGGUUGUGCAGCAGCCUUCUAAGGGACGGCCUUCAAAGGUGGAUUUGUGGCUGUGGGGAUGCGGAAGAAAAGUGGGGGGGAUCGAAUAGAAAUUUGCAUGCAUUAGAAAAUGCUUUCUCACUUCUCUGUUUUCUCUUCAUGUUUAAAUAAGAAAGCACAUCUCAGCAUCAUUACUGGCUCAAUAAAAUCUUUAAUUUUUAUUAAGAACUGAUUCAUAUAUCUAUAACAUGCUUUCUCUUACUGUUGGAUACCUCUUUUAUCAGGGAGCUUCUCAAAUUACAGUGGAUUCCCUCUAUGAAAUCUUUUGAUGACUCAUUGAGAUAGAGUGGCAAGAUUAUGGUGUAAUGAAUUUUCUGAAGAAUCAAGGUUGAAAUAUGAUGUAUGAAGAAGUUUCCAGAUUCAGAUUCCAUCAAAUGUUUAUUGUCUCAGUGAAGCAUUUUGCGAUAUAGAAGAAAGGAGGAAUAGCGUCGAAAGAACUCGAUCAAUGGUUGGUUUUGCUUUCUGAAUGCUGCUUUCUGUUCUUUCUUCAUUUCUUGAUGUUUAAUUUGAAAGGAUAUCGUAGCAUUUUUUGUUACAAGGAAUGAACAUAAACUCUUCUAAUCAAUGAGGAUGACAAAUCACUUCUUGAAAUCUUACACCCACCAUUGAAUGUGGAGAAAUUACGGCAAUGGAAUUACAGGGGCAACACUAUUUUCACCGACUGGAUGAUGUCCUUAACCAACCUCAGGCACUUAAGAAUUUGUCAUUCCAUAAACUGCAUUACCAAACUACCUUGUUUAGAAUACAACAUUGGAUAUAUCCAUUGAGGAUCGUCCUAUGUUAGGCCGCUUGAAGGGAAAAAUGAGAGAGAUGCGCCUCCAUCUUUUUGGAACAUCUGCAGUAUACUCAUUGGUGUAAACGUAGCUGUCCAUGUUGCUUCUCCAAUUUCAUAGAAUUCCAUCUAUGAAUUACUAGGAUAGUUCAGUGAGUGAAUCAAGUUUAAAAUUCCAUCAAAUUUCUUCAAACAACGCAUUAAAUUUCAUCUACAGAGCUUCCUAUCAUGCUGAAAAAGGGACAAACCGGGAAGUAUCUUCUAUGGGAGAUGUUCAUACUUUUAAGUCAUAACCCAACUUUUCAUAGAUUAAUCAUCUUAUAAUGUUUAUGCAAUUUUUUUACUUUUUAUACUAAGGCAUGCAAAUUUCUACCUCAGAACAAAUAUGGAAGAGAGAAGGGAUAAAUAUAGGAGAUUAUAUAUCCAAGAGGACUAAUAAAAUUGGUUAUGCUUUCUCAGUUGUUUCUUUCAUUUUUUUUUUUUUUUUUUUUUUUUUUUUUUUUUUAUGUUUAAACUAAAUUGAACAUCACAGCAUUUAUAAUGGUUGAAAAUCCAUGUUCUAUUCUGUUAAACGUGAUCUUGAUAUGUUAAUGUUGAUGCAGAGGCAAGUUUAAGAUGUCUUGAAUUUGCCCAAGUAUCAAGGUUGAAAUAUGAUGUAUUAAGAAGUUAACUAUGAUUGAGGUUCUUGUUGCAUUCUUUUUCUUGACCAAAAGUUAUCUAUGUUAAGACAUUAGCUUUGCUUGAUCUUAGUAAAAUAAGGCAUCAAAUUGGGUUAACAGAACUUUGUAUCAUGUUGGGCAACAUUGACAGACCAGGAAAUAUCUUGUGUAUCCCUACUUCUUGAAGAUCAUAACCCCACUUUUCAUACUUUAAUUUUCUGUUAAUGUUUAAGCUCUUUUUGAUUUUUAACUAAGGCAUAUAAAUUUCAAUUUAUAGCUUCAAAUUUCAUCAAAUAUUUAUAUUCUCAAUGCAGCGUUUCGCGUAAUUUGAUUGAUGGUUGGUUAUGCUUUCUCAAUGCUGCUUUCUGUUCUUCUUCAUUUCAUCAAAUUACACUGGAUGCCCUCUUUAAAAUAUUGUUGACUCUUUCCAUGAUAUAUAUAUAUAUAUAUCACAGAAGUUGCCAGAUUGAGGUUCUAGUCGCAUUCCUUUGCUUGACCAAAACUUCCCAAUCUACUGAGCAUUUCUUCUUUUUCAGCUUUUUGAAACCAGACAUUAAAUUUUGUCUUCAGAAUUUUCUAUCAUGCUGGUAACUUGACGGGCCUCAAAGUACCGUACUUCUUAAAGGUCAUAAUCCUACUUUUCAUACUUCAAUUUUCUACAGAAAUUUUCUUGCAAGACAUGUAAUUUUCUAUUUGUAGUGCAGUAUUUUGCAUUAUGGAAGAGAGGAAGAAUGGCAUUAUGAGUGUUGUCGAAAGAACUCGAUGAAUGGAUGAAACCAGCACUCACUCUCGGGUCUUCAUAUUUAGAAUUUGGUGAGCUUCCAUCAUCAAGGAUUUGCAGGGUUUUCAGGGCUAUUGUGAAGUAGUAAAGCUGAAAACAAAGCAUUCUCCAACACCAAUUUCUAGAGAAAUAUUUCGAGAAAAUGAUAA